AUUGAACGCUGGCGGCAUGCUUUACACAUGCAAGUCGAACGGUAACAGGCCGCAAGGUGCUGACGAGUGGCGAACGGGUGAGUAAUGCAUCGGAACGUGCCCAGUCGUGGGGGAUAACUACUCGAAAGAGUAGCUAAUACCGCAUACGAUCUAUGGAUGAAAGCGGGGGACCGUAAGGCCUCGCGCGAUUGGAGCGGCCGAUGUCAGAUUAGGUAGUUGGUGGGUAAAGGCUCACCAAGCCAACGAUCUGUAGCUGGUCUGAGAGGACGACCAGCCACACUGGGACUGAGACACGGCCCAGACUCCUACGGGAGGCAGCAGUGGGGAAUUUUGGACAAUGGGCGCAAGCCUGAUCCAGCAAUGCCGCGUGCAGGAAGAAGGCCUUCGGGUUGUAAACUGCUUUUGUACGGAACGAAGCGGCUCUGGUUAAUACCCGGGGCUAAUGACGGUACCGUAAGAAUAAGCACCGGCUAACUACGUG
rnacentral:rRNA from 1 species